rnacentral:tRNA from 1 species
GCCGCUGUGGUGGAAUGGUAGACACGUUGGACUUAAAAUCCAAUGGACCUCAAAAGUCCGUGCCGGUUCGAGUCCGGCCAGCGGUACAA